AGGCAUUUUUGCUUUCUGUGGCGGCUAAUGGUGAGAAACAAAAGUUAGGGUUUUUUUUAAUGGCUAUUGUUUUUGGCUUACAGAUGAGGAGUUUUGAAAGAGACUGAGCAGAAGUAAGAGAGAACACAAACCAGACUUGGAUCUUUUCAGACUCCAUGCACAGGGCAUCCUUUAUCCCCAGAGACACAGCCAGGCCCUCCUUGGCUCAGCUCACCAUGGUUUAGCAUUUUCAGCCUGAUGGGCCCCUGACAUCCUGCCCAUUCAGCAGCCUGUGUCCAUCUCUACUGAUGGUGCUGAGUGCUUCUGCUUAUUUCUUCACAUUUACCACCUCAGAGUGAAGCAGAGACUGGGGUGCCACAGGAUCAGUUCUUUGCCAGCACAACUUAAACACAAGAUGUGUCAGUUGAAAAUGCAUAUUAAAUGAAUAUUAAAUUUUGGAAGGACUUUCUCAGCACCACAUGGCAAAGCUGCUUCUCUUCAAGGGUUCACAUCUUCAGGAGUUUCCUCACAUCCCUGGAAGACCUCAGGAUGCUCUAGUGAGGCAGCAAAAGGAAGAGCCAGCAGCUGAGGAGGCUGGGGUGAACCCUUGGUGGCAGUGAGUGCUGCCACCUCACUUCUGAGGCUUAGCUCCAGAUGGCAAACAGCAUGUCCCCAGUGAAACCCGAGCACAGGCUGCAGCAGCAAGUGACAACAUCAAGACUGACAGCGAGGGAGAGGUAUUGCUUGAGGCAGCACUUCAGACUGAACACAGCUGGUUGGGUGCAGGAGGAAAAACAAGAUGCUUCAGGUGGAAGAAGGCAUCUGAAAUCACCUUUUCUUCCUCACAGACGAGCAUCAGCCUGCUCUCCAUCCUGCCAGACACUGAAGGCUGUAGGAAGGUGGGUAAUUGAGAAUUGUACAGACUCCACCUGCCAGCAGCAGCCAGCCCUGUCCACUCAUCUCUGGUUUAGAGGUUGAUGGAAUCCACCACCUCCAUUGCAUCCAUCAGGUAAGUCCAUGUAGAUGGAUCAGCUUGAACAGCUCUGUUAAUUGUGUCACAUUUCUC
rnacentral:lncRNA from 1 species